rnacentral:rRNA from 1 species
UACGUAGGGUGCAAGCGUUGUCCGGAAUUAUUGGGCGUAAAGAACUCGUAGGCGGUUUGUCGCGUCUGCUGUGAAAACUCAGGGCUUAACCCUGAGCCUGCAGUGGGUACGGGCAGACUAGAGUGUGGUAGGGGAGAUCGGAAUUCCUGGUGUAGCGGUGGAAUGCGCAGAUAUCGGGAAGAACACCCGUGGCGAAGGCGGUUCUCUGGGACGGUACUGACGCUGAGACGCGAAAGCGUGGGGAGCGAACAGG